rnacentral:rRNA from 1 species
UACGUAGGGGGCAAGCGUUGUCCGGAUUUAUUGGGCGUAAAGAGCGUGUAGGCGGCCUGAAAGGUCAGCUGUGAAAACUCGAGGCUCAACCUCGAGACGUCGGUUGAAACCAUCUGGCUAGAGUCCGGAAGAGGAGAAUGGAAUUCCUGGUGUAGCGGUGAAAUGCGCAGAUAUCAGGAAGAACACCCGUGGCGAAGGCGGUUCUCUAGUACGGUACUGACGCUGAGACGCGAAAGCGUGGGGAGCGAACAGG